rnacentral:rRNA from 1 species
CUGCUGCCUUCCGUAGGAGUCUGGUCCGUGUCUCAGUACCAGUGUGGGGGACCUUCCUCUCAGAACCCCUACGCAUCGUCGCCUUGGUGGGCCGUUACCCCGCCAACUAGCUAAUGCGACGCAUGACCAUCCGUAGCCGGAAUCGCUUCCUUUAAACCCGAGGAGAUGCCUCCUCGGGUUUUUACGCGGUAUUAGACGGAAUUUCUUCCGCUUAUCCCCCUGCUACGGGCAGGUUUCAUACGUGUUACUCACCCGUGCGCCGGUCGCCGGCGGGAGUA